rnacentral:rRNA from 1 species
AUUGAACGCUGGCGGCAUGCUUUACACAUGCAAGUCGAACGGCAGCACGGACUUCGGUCUGGUGGCGAGUGGCGAACGGGUGAGUAAUACAUCGGAACGUGCCCAGUUGUGGGGGAUAACUACUCGAAAGAGUAGCUAAUACCGCAUGAGAACUGAGGUUGAAAGCGGGGGAUCGUAAGACCUUGCGCAACUGGAGCGGCCGAUGGCAGAUUAGGUAGUUGGUGGGAUAAAAGCUUACCAAGCCGACGAUCUGUAGCUGGUCUGAGAGGACGACCAGCCACACUGGGACUGAGACACGGCCCCGACUCCUACGGGAGGCGGCAGUGGGGAAUUUUGGACAAUGGGCGAAAGCCUGAUCCAGCAAUGCCGCGUGCAGGAUGAAGGCCUUCGGGUUGUAAACUGCUUUUGUACGGAACGAAAAGCUUCGGGUUAAUACCCUGGAGUCAUGACGGUACCGUAAGAAUAAGCACCGGCUAACUACGUGCCAGCCGCCGCGGUAAGAC